rnacentral:rRNA from 1 species
UACGGGGGGGGCAAGCGUUGUUCGGAAUUACUGGGCGUAAAGGGCUCGUAGGCGGUCUGUUGCGUCGGGAGUGAAAACUCAGGGCUUAACCCUGAGCCUGCUUCCGAUACGGGCAGACUAGAGGUAUGCAGGGGAGAACGGAAUUCCUGGUGUAGCGGUGAAAUGCGCAGAUAUCAGGAAGAACACCUAUGGCGAAAGCAGCUCUCUGGGACGGUACUGACGCUGAGACGCGAAAGCGUGGGGAGCGAACAGG